AGUGAACGCUGGCGGUAGGCCUAACACAUGCAAGUCGAACGGCAGCACAGUAAGAGCUUGCUCUUACGGGUGGCGAGUGGCGGACGGGUGAGGAAUACAUCGGAAUCUACUUUUUCGUGGGGGAUAACGUAGGGAAACUUACGCUAAUACCGCAUACGACCUACGGGUGAAAGCAGGGGAUCUUCGGACCUUGCGCGAUUGAAUGAGCCGAUGUCGGAUUAGCUAGUUGGCGGGGUAAAGGCUCACCAAGGCGACGAUCCGUAGCCGGUCUGAGAGGAUGAUCAGCCACACUGGAACUGAGACACGGUCCAGACUCCUACGGGAGGCAGCAGUGGGGAAUAUUGGACAAUGGGCGCAAGCCUGAUCCAGCCAUACCGCGUGGGUGAAGAAGGCCUUCGGGUUGUAAAGCCCUUUUGUUGGGAAAGAAAAGCAGCAGGUUAAUACCCCGCUGUUCUGACGGUACCCAAAGAAUAAGCACCGGCUAACUUCGUG
rnacentral:rRNA from 1 species